AUAUUUUUUAAAUGACAACACAAAGAGUUAA
rnacentral:antisense_RNA from 1 species